UUUGAGUAACAUGAAUAGUUUGGAAAGGAGAUCCCACCUUUCUUUCUGCGUACCCCACUUCCACGACGUGUUUUUUGUUUUCAGUCUAUCUUGAGAAGAAAGAGAAAUCGAAAUACACUCAAAAUACACGCAGCAUGAAGUCGCGCUACUUUCUUGUAAGUUCAUUUCCAUCUUACGCAGAUGGCCCUCGGAAAUAUCCCAGCAUCCCCCUCGUCCGCUUCAUUCACCACUAAAGCUUUUCAGAAGCAGGUGGGCAAGGGCAGGCGGUUCAGACAUAUUAAGAAUAUUGAUUCUCUUCCUUCUCCUGCGUUACAAUAUGCUGGGUGAAUAACAAAAGCCGCCUCUUUCCCAGGCGAACCCCUCUCAAGGACAGAAUGCCAAGCUCCCGAAAGAGAGUGAUGCAGAAUCUCGCAUGGCAUGGCAGAGCCUGGCAAGCUACCCACGGCGUAUUUGAUACGCCAAAAACUGUAACUAUAAUGGGCCUCAUUCCCCUGACCCUGAACGAAACAGGGAUGAAUGGAGACAUUACUGGCGCCCGCUUGAGCAAAUUGGGGCAGCCAAGUGUCCUGCUUGCGGCCCAGAGGAGAUAAACAGAUGUGAUGCAGAAGACAGUUCAACUGCUGGCCUAGAGAUUGAGUGGGCCCAGUCCCCAGCUUCUCGAGCGAGAGUUCAAAAUCUCCUUUACACGGUCCUCCUCCACAUUCUUUUCUUUCUAAGAAAGAUGUAAGAUGUCCGGAGAUGGCCCCAAGGAGAAUGAGUCACACAUUGGAAACGACUCAAUAAGGAAGAACCUUGAAACAAUAAAUCACCCCUUGGAGAACACAUUCCCCAAAACUGUUUUGUGAGCAAAAUUACUUUAUUGUGUACACUGACCUCGGUACUCCUUGGUGCUGAGAACUGAUUCUCAUCUCUUUCUUCUUUGGGUUAGCAAGUCCAAA